AUACGGGGGGGGCAAGCGUUGUUCGGAAUUACUGGGCGUAAAGGGCUCGUAGGCGGCCAACUAAGUCGGACGUGAAAUCCCCAGGCUCAACCUGGGAACUGCGUCUGAUACUGGAUGGCUUGAAUCCGGGAGAGGGAUGCAGAAUUCCAGGUGUAGCGGUGAAAUGCGUAGAUAUCUGGAGGAAUACCGGUGGCGAAGGCGGCAUCCUGGACCGGCAUUGACGCUGAGGAGCGAAAGCCAGGGGAGCAAACGGGAUUAGAUACCCCGGUAGUCCUGGCCCUAAACGAUGAAUGCUUGGUGUAACGGGUAUCGAUCCCUGUUGUGCCGAAGCUAACGCAUUAAGCAUUCCGCCUGGGGAGUACGGUCGCAAGGCUGAA
rnacentral:rRNA from 1 species